rnacentral:lncRNA from 1 species
GCACCCGGCUCGCCUGGCUGGCACGGCCCGCGCCGCGGCGGCCCGGGCGCACACACAGGGGCCCAUUCUUCCCUGCUCCGCGCAACCAUAUGGCAAAUCCGCGUCGACACAGCAGCCCCCGCUCAUUCAGGCGCAGAAUGUCCCGCAACAGGGAACAAUCACAACUCUGUUCGCGUCUAUUAUGGAUGCGAACGGGCGAGAAAAAAAAAAUCAUUUAACUCCAAGAGAUAGCCAGCUAAUUACCAACCAUAUGUGAGCCCGGGUUCAAAGCGGUGCCGAGGAGUUCAUUCGGGAUCGGGGCGACUUUAUUAGCCAAAUGUCUGAAUAAAAGGAUUAUUCCCCCGCCCCCCCAGGACCGUGGGGGCCACUGCUGGCGAGAUUAACCGCCCCCAUGGCUUCCGCAUUUCUUCUAUGAAAGUAAGUGAGGUCAGCUGCCAUUCAUUGUCACAGCAUAUAUAUUUGAAAAUUUAAAUAUUUGAAUCAAAGGAAAAGGAGGGAUUUGCAUUUCUGCCCAACGCGACAAGCGCGUUCCGAGAACACCGCACAAUGGAAACGUUUCAAUCGGAAUGAAUUGUCUCCUCACAGGAGGAUUCUGGAUAAAGGCAGCCAGUGCUUUCCCUUUUGUUUCUUCUGCUUUUGUUUUGUGUUGGUGUUUUUCUUUCCUCUUACCCACUCCAAUCCAGGAGGGUGUUUUCUGAAACUUGGUGGCUGACUUUGGUUUCGAGGACAUAAAGAAACAUGGAGAAACUCCCAAGAAACGCUCACAUCAGAGGCCUCUCUGACACAAAAGCAAAAUUUAAUUGAACAUGUGUGGGUGGAAAAAGAGAUAUGGGGACUCCCAGCGCUGCUAGAAUGGGCUAAUCAGCUGACUCCAGCUGGAUGGAUGCUGCUGCUAAUGAAGCCUCCGAGAGGCCUCAGCGGCAUCUGGGGAUUGCUCCUCAUUUUGGGACCCCUCCUGGACUGGAUAGUCUCCUCGAGGUUGCUUUCUCGCCUGCCCGGACCCCCACGAACACUGAAAACCUGGGGCCUGGCCCCCCUCACAGCCCCCUUGCAGAGCCUGUGCCUGUGGUCCUCCUCCUCUUGUGUCUGGCUCU